rnacentral:rRNA from 1 species
ACUCCUACGGGAGGCAGCAGUGGGGAAUAUUGCACAAUGGGCGCAAGCCUGAUGCAGCAACGCCGUGUGAGUGAAGAAGGUUUUCGGAUCGUAAAACUCUGUCCUAAGGGAAGAAACAAUAGACGGUACCUUAGGAGGAAGCCCCGGCCUAACUACGUGCCAGCAGCCGCGGUAAUACGUAGGGGGCGAAGCGUUAUCCGGAAUCACUGGGCGUAAAGGGUGCGUAGGCGGCUUAGCAAGCCAGGGGUGAAAGGCAUUGGCUCAACCAAUGUAAGCCUUUGGAACUGUUAAGCUUGAGUGCAGGAGAGGUAAGUGGAAUUCCUAGUGUAGAGGUGAAAUUCGUAGAUAUUAGGAGGAAUACCAGUGGCGAAGGCGGCCCCCUGGACAAAGACUGACGCUCAGAUGCGAAAGCGUGGGGAGCAAACAGGAUUAGAUACCCUGGUAGCUACGAG